UCUUCAGGCGAACAUUGGCAUCGAAGUGAUACCCUAUGAUAUCAAGAAAAAUCCUAUGGAACAAAGAAGCAGAUAAUGAUCACAGAAGUGCAACAAAGAGCACCAGGACCUGAUCAUCAAAUGUUAUUGUGUAGAUCUAAUCAAGAACAGGACACCUAAGUUGAACUCUGGCAAGGUUGUCCCUUGCAGAAGGUUUGAUACCCAGGCUUCUUUUGUACAAGUCCCUAGUCCACCCUCAUCUUGAGAACUGUUCCUGUGUCUGGGAUCCCUACAACAUCUCAGAUGUCCAGGACGCUACUUCACAAUGGGGACCACAAGUGAACCAGCAGUUUGACUGAGAUGAUCAGCACCUUUAGUUGCCUACUAUAUCUACAACUACAAGGCACUCUGCAAGAAGACUGGGAAU